AACAACGCUCAUACCACGCUGGGAAACACCGGUUCUCGUCCGAUCACCGAAGUUAAGCAGCGUUGGGCGCAUUUAGUACUUGGAUGGGUGACCGCUUGGGAACAGUGCGUAGUUGUUGGCU